AGUCUAGGUGUAAACGCUGUGAACUUGGUGUCGGGGAUCCGUCAUGGGUCCCCGGUGCCGGAGUGAAGAUGUUAAGUUCACUGCCUGGGGAGUACGGUCGCAAGGCUGAAACUUAAAGGAAUUGGCGGGGGAGCACUGCAACGGGAGGAGCGUGCGGUUUAAUUGGAUUCAACGCCGGAAAACUCACCAGGGCCGACUGUUAGAUGAAGACCAGUGUAACGAACUUGUCGGAUUUUCAGAGAGGUGGUGCAUGGCCGUCGUCAGUUCGUACUGUAAAGCGUUCUGUUAAGUCAGAUAACGAACGAGACCCUCAUCUCUAUUUGCUACCUGUCUCUCCGGAGACAGCGCACUAUAGAGAGACCGCUGGUGUUAAACCAGAGGAAGGCGAGGGCAACGACAGGUCAGUAUGCCCCGAAUGUCCUGGGCUACACGCGCGCUACAAAGGACGGGACAAUGGGAAGCCAGGCCGAGAGGCCGAGCUAACCCGAAACCCGUUCGUAGUUCGGAUUGAGGGCUGUAACUCGCCCUCAUGAAGCUGGAUUCCGUAGUAAUCGUGUUUCAAAAUAGCACGGUGAAUAUGCCCCUGCUCCUUGCACACACCGCCCGUCAAACCAUCUUAGUUGGGGGUGGGUGAGGCUGCGCUUCAUGGCGUAUUCGAGCCUGCCUUCGACAAGGAGGGUUAAGUCGUAACAAGGUAUCUGUAGGGGAACCUGCAGAUG
rnacentral:rRNA from 1 species